UAGCGUAGGGGGUUAGCGUUGUCCGGAAUCAUUGGGCGUAAAGAGCGUGUAGGCGGUCCGGUAAGUCCGUUGUGAAAGUCAAAGGCUCAACCUUUGAAAGCCGAUGGAUACUGUGAAGCUAGAGUACGGAAGAGGCGAGUGGAAUUCCUGGUGUAGCGGUGGAAUGCGCAGAUAUCAGGAGGAACACCAAUAGCGAAGGCAGCUCGCUGGGACGUUACUGACACUGAGGCGCGAAAGCGUGGGGAGCGAACAGG
rnacentral:rRNA from 1 species